rnacentral:rRNA from 1 species
CCUACGGGAGGCUGCAGUGGGGAAUUUUGGACAAUGGGCGCAAGCCUGAUCCAGCCAUGCCGCGUGCAGGAUGAAGGCCUUCGGGUUGUAAACUGCUUUUGUACGGAACGAAACGGCCUUUUCUAAUAAAGAGGGCUAAUGACGGUACCGUAAGAAUAAGCACCGGCUAACUACGUGCCAGCAGCCGCGGUAAUACGUAGGGUGCAAGCGUUAAUCGGAAUUACUGGGCGUAAAGCGUGCGCAGGCGGUGAUGUAAGACAGUUGGGAAAUCCCCGGGCCCAACCUGGGAACUGGAUCUGUGGAUGCAUUGGUGGAGGAAGGCAGAGGGGGAUGGAAGUCCGCGUGUUGCAGUGAAAUGCGUAGAUAUGCGGGGGGACACCGAUGGCGAAGGCAAUCCCCUGGGCCUGGACUGACGCUCAUGCACGAAAACGUGGGGAGCAAACAGGAUUAGAUACCCCUGUAGUC